rnacentral:rRNA from 1 species
GACGAACGCUGGCGGCGUGCUUAACACAUGCAAGUCGAACGGAAAGGCCCGCUUGCGGGUACUCGAGUGGCGAACGGGUGAGUAACACGUGGGUAACCUGCCCCCUGCUUCGGGAUAACUCCGGGAAACCGGGGCUAAUACCGGAUAUUCAUUGCCUGCCGCAUGGUGGGUGGUGGAAAGUUUUUCGGCUGGGGAUGGGCCCGCGGCCUAUCAGCUUGUUGGUGGGGUGAUGGCCUACCAAGGCUUCGACGGGUAGCCGGCCUGAGAGGGCGACCGGCCACACUGGGACUGAGACACGGCCCAGACUCCUACGGGAGGCAGCAGUGGGGAAUAUUGCGCAAUGGGCGGAAGCCUGACGCAGCGACGCCGCGUGAGGGAUGACGGCCUUCGGGUUGUAAACCUCUUUCAGCAGGGACGA